UACGUAGGGAGCAAGCGUUGUCCGGAAUCAUUGGGCGUAAAGCGCGCGUAGGUGGCUUCGUAAGUCCGUUGUGAAAGUCAAAGGCUCAACCUUUGAAAGCCGAUGGAUACUGUGAAGCUAGAGUACGGAAGAGGCGAGUGGAAUUCCUGGUGUAGCGGUGGAAUGCGCAGAUAUCAGGAGGAACACCAAUAGCGAAGGCAGCUCGCUGGGACGUUACUGACACUGAGACGCGAAAGCGUGGGGAGCAAACAGG
rnacentral:rRNA from 1 species